rnacentral:rRNA from 1 species
GAUGAACGCUGGCGGCACGCCUAACACAUGCAAGUCGAACGAGCGAGAGAGAGCAUGCUUUCUCAAGCGAGUGGCGAACGGGUAAGUAACGCGUGCGGAACCUGCCUCGAAGAGGGGGACAACAGAUGGACACGACAGCUACUACCGCCUAAGCCCCCGACGCGGCAACCGGCCGAGGGAAAAGGUGCCAUCUGCUUAGAGAUGGCCUCGCGUGCGAUUUUCCAGAUGGUGGGGUCACUGCCCACCCGGGCGACGAUCGGGAGCCGGCCUGAGCGGGAGAACGGCCACUGGGGGUCAGAGACACGGCCCAGACUCCUGCGGGAGGCAGCAGUGGAGAAUAUUGCACAAUGGGGGAAACCCUGAUGCAGCGACGCCGCGUGGAGGAAGAAGGUCUGCGGAGUGUAAACUCCUGUUGUGGAGGGAGAUAAUGACGGUACUCAACAAGGAAGUGACGGCUAACUACGUG